rnacentral:piRNA from 1 species
AGAAGCACUGCAAUCUUAUUUCAAGGGCUUC